UACGUAGGGGGCGAGCGUUGUCCGGAAUCAUUGGGCGUAAAGCGCGUGUAGGCGGCUUGGUAAGUCCGGUGUGAAACCUUGGGGCUCAACCCCAAGCCUGCACUGGAUACUGCCUCGCUUGAGUCCGGGAGGGGAGAGCGGAAUUCCUAGUGUAGCGGUGAAAUGCGCAGAUAUUAGGAAGAACACCGGUGGCGAAGGCGGCUCACUGGCCCGAUACUGACGCUGAGGCACGAAAGCGUGGGGAGCAAACAGG
rnacentral:rRNA from 1 species